rnacentral:rRNA from 1 species
AUUGAACGCUGGCGGCAGGCCUAACACAUGCAAGUCGAGCGGAUGAGAAGAGCUUGCUCUUCGAUUCAGCGGCGGACGGGUGAGUAAUGCCUAGGAAUCUGCCUGGUAGUGGGGGACAACGUUUCGAAAGGAACGCUAAUACCGCAUACGUCCUACGGGAGAAAGCAGGGGACCUUCGGGUCUCGCGCUAUCAGAUGAGCCUAGGUCGGAUUAGCUAGUUGGUGAGGUAAUGGCUCACCAAGGCGACGAUCCGUAACUGGUCUGAGAGGAUGAUCAGUCACACUGGAACUGAGACACGGUCCAGACUCCUACGGGAGGCAGCAGUGGGGAAUAUUGGACAAUGGGCGAAAGCCUGAUCCAGCCAUGCCGCGUGUGUGAAGAAGGUCUUCGGAUUGUAAAGCACUUUAAGUUGGGAGGAAGGGCAGUAAGUUAAUACCUUGCUGUUUUGACGUUACCGACAGAAUAAGCACCGGCUAACUUCGUGCCAGCCGCCGCCGUAACAC